rnacentral:rRNA from 1 species
GACGAACGCUGGCGGCGUGCCUAAUACAUGCAAGUAGGACGCAGUUGCGAACGGGUGAGUAACGCGUAGGUAACUACCUAUUAGAGGGGGAUAACUAUUGGAAACGAUAGCUAAUACCGCAUACUCGUAGAUUGACCUGCGUUGUAUUAGCUAGUAGGUAGGGUAAAGGCCUACCUAGGUAACGAUACAUAGGCGACCUGGAGGGGGUAGCGGCCAAACUGGGAUGUAGGACACGCCCAGGAUCCCACGGGAGGGAACAGGAGGGAAACUUCGGAAAGUGGGGGAAACCUGAACGAGCAACGCCGGGGGAGUGAAGAAGGUUUUCGGAUCGUAAAGCUCUGUUGUUAAGGAAGCGGGACUUAAACAGAAAGGGACGGCUAACUACGUGCCAGCAGCCGCGGUAAUAC